GUUUCACCUGUGUCCUGUGUCCAACCUGUUGCUGUAUGUUUGGUUUCUGUGUUUCCCCUCUCCUUUUGUCGGAUCAUUACCUCUUUCCUUGAUUCUUGUUGGCGUUUACCAAAGGCCCUCUACGUUUUCCUAUGGAUUUCUUGGAAGAUUUUUUUUCCAGGCUGUGAGCUCUGCUUCUCUGCACUGGUCCCGCCCAUGUUCCCUGUUUCAUAACUUCUCCCAGACUUGACAGAACCAGGCAGAGCUACUCUGGAGCAGAGAUUGACAACCCUGUCAGCUGGAGUGACACAGAGUGAUGAAUGAGAGAGAAGCCGAUGGCCCGUCACAAAGAGACAAAACAUCUAAAGUGCAAAUAUGGAGACAGAUCCGUAGCAUCUUAUUUAUAAAUCAAACUGUCUAGACGUGCAAUUUAUUAAAAGAAAAACAGUGAUUAUUUUCAAGGUUUGUGAAUGCAACUCGUUGUAUUGGCGAUAAUUAAUAAAAGGCGAAGGCCAGUGGGUCACUCUGUACUAGACAGACAGAGCCUAAAGGGUUUUUGCUGCCAUGUGUGGCAGAUCUGUCAGCUGAAGCAAGUUUGGGACUGGCAACAUGCCCAGGAUGGCUUUGGAGCCUGUCUACAGCACAUCAGACUUGACCUAAACAUCAGUUGGAAACAGACUGGCUCAUUUCUUAUGCCUUAACAUCUUCCAUUUUAAUUACUUUGACAGUGACAGCCUGCACAAGAUAAAGAGCAUGUAAAUGAUUUGAUUAACAAUCCCUGUUGUUGACAUGAAACUGAUAAAUAAACUUACAUGCAGGUUGGAUAUACAUAUUUUGAUAUCCAUA